AUAGGUAAGAGAUUAGGGUCCUCUCAAAUAUUUCCUAGGUAUGCACACAACCUGCAUAUGUGUGUGGCCUUCUUGAUUUUCAGGAAUUUGCUAGAACUUUUCAAAGCCUCCCAUGGAUGUCUCAUUCUUGAGCUUUUCCUUUUAAGUUUUUUGGUCAGCUCUUUGUUUGCUUCAAAUGGUAUUUCAAUCUCUGGUAGUUGUAUUAUUUUAAAAAAUUGUCACAUUUGUUUCGCACAAACAAAAAAAUUGUUUUUAAGACUAAGUUGUUUUGGACUCUACUUCUUUAGAGUGAAUGUUAACAUCUGAUGUUUAAUGGAAGGGUUGAGGUUCAACUGGCACAGUGCCAGCUCCUCGUCUGGCUCCCACAGGUGUCAGUUGGGCUGACAAGGUAAAGGCUCAUCAUACAGGCUCUACUGCUUCUUCAGAAAUAACACCCGCCCAGUCUUGCCCACCAAUGACAGUGCAGAAGGCCUCACGCAAAAAUGAACGGAAAGAUGCUGAAGGAUGGGAGACCGUUCAGAGAGGAAGGCCUAUUCGUUCUCGAUCAACAGCAGUGAUGCCAAAAGUUUCAUUGGCAACAGAAGCCACAAGAUCAAAGGAUGACAGUGAUAAAGAAAAUGUAUGUCUUUUACCUGAUGAAAGCAUACAGAAAGGUCAAUUUGUUGGAGAUG
rnacentral:lncRNA from 10 species